rnacentral:siRNA from 1 species
GGGCGAUCUACUAAACCAUAUGAA